GAAUUGAAAGUGUGUUAUGACAGCUGGCACGUGGUUGAUGCUGGGUUUGACUGGGCUGGUCUGACCAGUACAGCGGGAAUCACUCUUUCCUGUCUCCAUGCUCCCUGCAUGUUCUGUCGGGGGCUAGAGGAGUCUCGUCCUGGGUCAGGGGGGUACAAGUAGCUGCACUUCCCUGCUAGAUCCUCAGUGAACUCUCCAGAUCCAUUUGUAAGAAGAUGUAGGCAGUCGAGCCUCCAGACACUUCCAGAAGAGGCACUGCUUACGGCAGCCUGCCUUUUGCU
ensembl:misc_RNA 7SK 7SK RNA